GUUGAAACUGUGUUAUUGCUGCAAGAGAAGAUUAAUGAUGAUGAGGGUGGUCCGGUGAUUAUGCGACUACUUGUUCCAUCUAAAGUUAUUGGCUGUAUUAUAGGAAAAAGUGGUUCAAUCAUCAAUGAGAUUCGGAAGUCAACUAGAGCUGAUAUCCGUAUAUCUAAGGGUGACAAAAUUAAGUGUGCUACUGCCAGUGAUGAACUUGUUGAGGUAACCGGUAAAGUUGGCAGUGUGAGAGAUGCGUUGGUCCAGAUCGUGUUAAGGCUUCGUGAUGAUGCUUUGAAAGAGAGGGAUGUCGGUCAUAACGCUGCCGUUGUUACAGAUUCAAUGUAUUCAUCAGGUUCCAGUUUUUCCAUGCCAUCUGUCUUGCCUUCUGUUUCUCCUGGC
rnacentral:misc_RNA from 1 species